rnacentral:tRNA from 1 species
GGCCUCGUGGCGGAGCGAUAACGCAAAGGAUGCGCAAAUCCUUUCAGGUUGGGUUCAAUUCCCUUCCGAGGCCUCCA